AUCUGGUCAGGGUCGCCUCCGUUACCCCAGGGACCAUUUCUGGAUCCUUCUGACCUGGACUUCGCCCUGUAGGUGCUGCUGAGCCGAGGAGAGGACCCUGGCUCUGAGACGUUUCCAUCUCCCUCCUUCUCUUCCUCUCCCUCUCCCUGCUUGGACUCAGCCUCUGUGACUUCUCGUUUUGAUUCCAGGAAACACUCCAGCUGGUUUGGGAACAAAGACCAAGUUUUGCAGCUUUUAUCCAAACAGGACAUGGAGCUGGAGAGGUGGAUGUCCUCGGAGGCCAAAGAGAGAGAGAGAGAGCCAGCUCACAUCUGUGGAGGAUCAGAGCCUACUGUGUAGACGAGAUGAACGCAGCCUCGUGGUUUGGAAAGAGAUGACGACGCUGAGGCGCCUCAAAUCUGCAUUGUUUCUGAUCUCCAGCAGGAUUUCAGAAAGUAACCGUACAGAUAAAAUGCAGACCCCGAGGCCUCCACACGGCAGAUUGCAAACCAAUGGGUGAUGUUACAAUUGCUACGUCCAGUCCAUAAGGAAACAAUCAAUGGCUUCUCCUUUUUCUGAUUCAGCUUGUCCACCGGGAUGAAGUCGUUGCCGUGAAAUCCAGAGAGGAAAAAUCUUCUCUUCCAAUGUUGGAUAAAUGCUGCUCGUGAUUGUACUGUAGACUGAAGAGUUGAAUGUAGAUAGAGACCCAAAGAUCAUUCAUUUGGCGAUCAACUUUGCUUCAAAUCCUGAGAAAUACAUCCUCCUUCUUUUUUUUUAAAAAGUUGACAAAUCUUUAAAAACUUUACAAACACUCACAGCAACAAGAGGACCAAAUGCAGGCAAACGAUACGACAGUCAUGAUCUGCGGACAGUGAACCAUUGCACUCUGCAGCCACCAGAGGGCAGCAUUGUGACACAAAUCACACUCCCAAUACAACAUUUUGACAGGCACAAGGAUGCUACUGAUCUGAGUUCAAUUUAAAUCCGUCUGUCAUAUUCGGGACUGAAAUCACCGCUGCUGCCAGUUUUGAAUCUUCUGAUAUGCUGAAGGUUUUCUGCUCGAUGCUACAAAGAAGAGAAACAACUGAGGAAACAUGUUGCAAGAUGGAAAACCAAACAGCUUAUGAACUUUAAUGAGUGAUACAUCUGCUAAAAUAGAAAAAUAGAUGAUCUGAACAUAAUUUCAAACAUAGAAAAAUAGAUAUAACAAGAUGAUUUAUAUGUACAUGAUACAUUUUUAAGUGACUCGUCGUUUUAGAUGAAAAGGUAAGUUUCCAUCCUGCAACCUUCAUAGCCGAGGAAAGGCUUAAUGCACAUUGUGCCGUCCUGUUGGCUCUGAUGAAUGUUAUAAAGGGCAGUAUGUCGGGUGUAGGCGGAGGGCUGUAAAGACGGAUUUUUGUCCUCAGGUUGGAGCGGUCACCACACGGAGCAUUUGUCCACGGGAUUCAUAGGCGUUCCCCUCGGACAGUGGAAAACUCGGGCAAACUCGUCAAACUGGGAAACACUUCCGAUCACUCUGCAGGGGAGGAGGGAGGAUAUAAUAACACAUCAUCAAAUGGGGUUAGGGUUGCCUUGCUAUAGUAUGUCAUCCUGUAGUAAGGCAUGCAAGAAAAGUAGUAGUAAGACAUGUUUUAAAAGUCAUAGUCUAGUAUGUCAUACUAUAGUAAGACAUGUUUUAAAAGUCAUAGUCUAGUAUGUCAUACUAUAGUAAGGCUUGUUAUAAAAGUCAUAGUAGAGUACGUCAACUUUAGUAGUUUAGGGUUGGGGUUUAGGCUAGGGAUGGCUUGUAGAUGUGUGUAGUAUCUGUACCUGUAGUGCUCUGGAGCAUGUUUGUCAGUCAGCAGCUGCAGGUAGAUGGACUGAGAUCUUCUCUUCAUACACCAAUUCUGAAAGGACAAAACGUAAACACGUUUACUUUGGGUUUGCUCCAAAAUUAUAACUCUCCUCCAUUGAAAAUUCAUUUUUAAUGCAUUUUGUUGAAUGAACAUGAAAACAGCAAGUCGGGUGCUAAUCCAAAGUUUUACAUUGCUAUGUGAACCAAAACAAUCAUGUUCUCAAGCACCCUGAAUGUGCAGAUAUUAUAACCGUGUUUGUAUGUUUGCAUUGCUGAAAAAGUGGUAACACUUGCACUGCAGGAUUUAAAAACCUGUGAUAAAACACUGCAUCAUGUUCAGAAGUGUGUCUUCAUUUUGUCUGCGUUACAUUAAGCCUUGAAUUUCAAUGAAACCAUUGAGUUUGAGUGAUAGUUGUAAUAG